GGCGCCGUGCCGCACGCAGAGGGGGCGGAGUCUCGCAGAUCCCGCCCACCGUCGGGUAAUCGUCGGUUCGACUGAACCCAACUGCAGUGCAGAGUCGGAAUGGGGGGCUUGGCCCCGGUCCAGCACGGUCCAAAUUAGCUCUCCGUUGAAUUACAUGCAGUCAGCCAGUGGAAGCAGCUGAGAUCCUGACGCCCCAGUCCCGCAGCCUUGUAUGGGGGGUCCGAGCCCCGCAAGCCUGCCGCUCGGGUCCGCUUUCGUCCACGAACGCCUUUUCCAGCAGCAACUUUACAGCGAAAGGACAAGAACAAAGACUUUAUGUGUUCUUUCUUCAAAAUGACACCAACAGGAGCAAUGGGGGAUCCCAUUAGAGCUCACAGCGGUGUUCCUGAACCUGGUGGCGCGGACACAUACACCACACACACACCCCACACACAGACACAUACACCACACACACACCACACACACAGACACAUACACCACACACACACCCCACACACACACACACCACACCACACACACCCCACACACACCCCACACACACCACACUUUUGUGCAAUUUAGUAGAAAGCCAGAAAAAGUAUAUUCUUGUAAAACAUACUCAGAUAAUCUUUAAAUUUUUUGUAAUGCAGUGCAUGCUCAAAUAUCAGUGAAUCCUAAAAUUGUGAUUUAUAGAUCUGGAAAAUGCACGACAAUGUCUAAAAUUGUAUAAAAGUCAUGGAAAGUGAAUAUGAUUUCUGUUUUUGAGUUAUGCACUGCUCUCAAUUAUUUAAUCGUCUAGAAAUUGUUCCAUAACAUGAUUUUUGAAAGCUCAUCAGUGACCAUUUGAAAAUGAUUUGCACAGUUCAUCCUGCGUGGUUUCAAAUCUG
rnacentral:lncRNA from 1 species